UGGGCGACUCUAAAGGGACUGCCGGUGUUAAACCGGAGGAAGGUGGGGAUGACGUCAAGUCCUCAUGGCCUUUAUGACCAGGGCUACACACGUACUACAAUGGCCGAUACAAAGGGCAGCGACACUGCGAGGUGAAGCCAAUCCCGUAAAAUCGGUCUCAGUCCGGAUUGGAGUCUGCAACUCGACUCCAUGAAGUUGGAAUCGCUAGUAAUCGUGGAUCAGCAUGCCACGGUGAAUACGUUCCCGGGCCUU
rnacentral:rRNA from 1 species